CUCCCUUGGGGACUACACGACUAAAGGGAGCCAGGACCAGGUCUAGAGCUGGGGAAUUCCAACCUGCCUCUUGGACACUUUCCAUUUCCCCCUUAUCGCCGCGCCUGUCCAUCACAGUCUUGGAGAAGCCAUCUUCAGAAUCAGAAUCUCCAGGCACGGGUUUGCUGGGCAUCCUCGGUUACCCUCAAAGCUCCACUCCGGGAAAAACAGUUGCUUGACUUGCAGUGGGUUCCGGGCCAAGUUUGAGCCUCUGGGCUGAUGGGUGUGGUGACUCAGAACCAUCCAGAGACCAUAGAUGAGUCACCAAGGGAAACGUUCAAGUGGCCUGCUGGACAGCAAUUUUGCAAGGUCUCCUUCCUCUGUGACUGCCUCUGCGUUGGCUUCACCGUCUUCUGUAAGAACGGUUGUGGUCCUGUUCUGAUCCCAUGUGACCUCACCUUAGCUGCAUCUGCAAAGACUAUUUCCAAGUAAGGACACACAUUGAGACCCUAGGAGGACGUGCACUGGGUGGGAGGGUACUACCGACCUCAGUACAGGUGGCUUCUUUACGCCAGGCACCCUGCCAGUUGGCCUGCCAACCACGAUGAGUAAGACCCCUCCUGUCUCAGAGUCUCCUGAGGAGAUAGACACGUGAAUACGUCGCCAUGAUUCCACAAGAUAAAUAUGUGCUAACAUCAUACGUUGAUUGGGCACUUCCCACAUGCCCGGCGCUAUUUAAAGAAAUGUCCAUAUAAUCCUCUUAGCAACCCUGGGCACUCUUGUCAAGAUCCCCACUUCACAGGUGAGGAGACUGAACUCUGGAGAGCACAAGUUGCCUACUGGGGGUCGUGGUGGGGGUGGUCCCAGAGUCCCAUCUUUGGCAGUAGAGGUUGUUCCUGUCUCUCUGAGGAGCCGGCGUCCGAGGAGAGGACGGCCAACGGUGCAGAGGCUGGGGGCAUGCGGGGUGAAGACCGGGUUCCAGGCAGAAGCCAAGGCCGAUGCCAGUGCUGAGUCAGCCAAAAAGCUGCACAUGCUUUAAAAGGGUGAAACCUCUGAGCUCAGGGAGGGCUGCCGGGAGCCAGAUAAGG